CUGAUCCAAAAUCCUCAAAGCUUCAUAGAACUGAAACAAACAUUUAUUUUUAGCUCCAUUCUGCUGCUGAUACAGACUUUAGGUUUCUGAACAUUACACUUGUUGCUGCCUUUCAUAGUGUGUAACUUGAAGGCCCUGAGUACUUUCUCCCACACUGAAAACACUGGGAUGAUCACAUUAUUUGAACAUUACCUAAUAAGACUGAUUCAGGACAGACAAUUAGUUAUGUUAAACUUUCCUAGCAGUCCUUCACAAACAGGGAACAGUCUGUCUAUUCUCUCCAUCUGUCAGCUGCUGCUGGCUCUUCCUCCUCCUCUUCCUCACACACUGCUGAGUUUGUCCUGGUGGAUCAUCAGGGCUGCAAAGCCUCAUAGAUGAUAUGCAGCAGUGGGUCCCUCAGUCUGUCCUCACUCUGGACACUUGCAGUCGUCACACAUGGAAAUCAAAUGUGUGAUAAGCUGCAGGAUUCAAACACAAGUGUAACUUAUAAACACAUGUUCAUACUUUUAUUCCACAAUCAGAAAGAAACAGAGAGAGAGUGCAGGACAGACAGACAGGUGACAGUCUCAGGUGUACACACUGCUACAAACAGGAGGAUUUAGUGUUUGUGUUAUUACGAGUGCUAAACAAGAAGAGUUCCAGAUGGUGCAGUGGACACAUGUGUGACUGCUGUGAUUAAAGCAUCUUUCUUUCAGCUUAACGAGUGAACCGUCAGCUCGUUCAAACACACGUUAAAGUCCGUUUGGCUCGACACCACCGAACAGAGGCAGCAAUAUAACAUAGCUAACAUUAACAGUGCAGUGAAUCCUGCUGGUGCCGUGAUAUUCAGGACUGCAAACCGAGCAGCAUCACUGACUUUCAGCUUGUUGUGUUUGUGGAUAUAUGACUGACUUUAAUUAUCCAUAAAAUCAUCAGAUUCUCUGUAAGAUUAAGGUCGACUAUCGAACGGCGUAUAAAGGCUUUAAAACAAAGUAAACGCUGAAAGUUCAAACAUCGCUAAUGUCACAUAACUUUGCCGGCAUGUGGCCAACAGUAAUGUUUUAAUGUUUCUCAUUAUUAAACAUUUGCACAUAAAUAAGUGACAUAACAUUCAGUACUUACUUUUGAAAGUUUACUCUUUGGCUGCUCCGCUUCCACUUCUUUGAAGUGUCUCCCAGUCCCAGUGCACUUGUUAGCAUGUUUUGGUUCAUGCAACUGGUCCGUCCGCUUAUUGUCUCCCCAGAAACAUUUCCGUUGUGUUGUGUGUGCUUUUGCAGCGUUUUUCUUUUUGCAGCGUUUUUCUUUUUGCAGCAUUUUUCUUUUUGCAGCGUUUUUCUUUUUUGCAGCGUUUUUCUUUUUGCAGCAUUUUUCUUUUUGCAGCGUUUUUCUUUUCGCAGCAUUUUUCUUUUUGCAGCAUUUUUCUUUUUGCAGCAUUUUUCUUUUUGCAGCAUUUUUCUUUUUGCAAGUGUUUUCUGAAGUUGCAGUCCGUUUGGCCUCUCAGGGCCACCGUAAAAAAAAAAAGGCUUUAGGAUAUAAGGUUUCCUGGAAUAAUCUACAAAUUGAGCUAAAAUUGUCAGAAACGAGAGAACAGCUCUUUUGGUCAGUGUUCUUGUUUUGGUCAUUUAUUGCACACAACUCAUACAUUUGUGUUCACUGGUCUGUACAGAAUAUAGUAUUUAAACAUUCUGAAUGAAUAUUGGUUCUUUACUUGUUAUAUUAUUAGUGGUAUUUGUUGUAACAUCUUCUGCCCCCUGCUGGUCUCUCUUGGAAAUAUGAGAAACGAGUCUUUUGUCUGGAUUAACUGCAAAUAAUGAAAGAACAGCUUGUCCACAUGCAGCCUCUGUGUCAGAUCAAUGCAGUGAAGCACACACACUGUUUAGUAAAGUCAUGUUGUGGAGCUGUUUC
ensembl:lncRNA